AGUGAACGCUGGCGGUAGGCCUAACACAUGCAAGUCGAACGGCAGCACAGUAAGAGCUUGCUCUUACGGGUGGCGAGUGGCGGACGGGUGAGGAAUACAUCGGAAUCUACUUUUUCGUGGGGGAUAACGUAGGGAAACUUACGCUAAUACCGCAUACGACCUACGGGUGAAAGCAGGGGAUCUUCGGACCUUGCGCGAUUGAAUGAGCCGAUGUCGGAUUAGCUAGUUGGCGGGGUAAAGGCCCACCAAGGCGACGAUCCGUAGCUGGUCUGAGAGGAUGAUCAGCCACACUGGAAGUGAGACACGGUCCAGACUCCUACGGGAGGCAGCAGUGGGGAAUGUUGGACAAUGGGCGGAAGCCUGAUCCAGCCAUACCGCGUGGGUGAAGAAGGCCUUCGGGUUGUAAAGCCCUUUUGUUGGGAAAGAAAAGCAGCAGGUUAAUACCCCGCUGUUCUGACGGUACCCAAAGAAUAAGCACCGGCUAACUUCGUG
rnacentral:rRNA from 1 species